AUUCCAGCUCCAAUAGCGAAUACUAAUUCUGCUGCAGUUAAAAAGCUCGUAGUUGGAUUUCUGGAUUGAGCGGCUGGCCUUGCGCGCAAGCGUUCGUGUCGGCUUCGUUUCGGUCCAUCCUCAGGGGGACUUGCGCUGGCAUUAACGUGUCGGUGUUGGGACGCCUGUCGUUUACUGUGAACAAAUUAGAGUGUUCAAAGCAAGGUGUACUUGAAUACAUUAGCAUGGAAUAAUAAGAUAGGACUUUGGUGGUUCUUUUUGAUAUUUUGUUGGUUUGCACGCCAAAGUAAUGAUUAAUAGGAGCAGUUGGGGGUAUUCGUAUUCAAUUGUCAGAGGUGAAAUUCUUGGAUUUAUAGAAGACGAACUACUGCGAAAGCAUUUACCAAGGAUGUUUUCAUCG
rnacentral:rRNA from 1 species